GAGUGGCGGCACAGCAGUGAGAAGAGGCAAAAACCCUAGCUCGAUUAGAUGUGUUUUCGGUAGAGGCCAAUAGGCACGAUCUCAUAUCGCGAUCGUGAUCUAAACCAAUUAGGCUUGCAUAUAUCUUGCUGACUUAAAGGCCAAAUAACUAAAAAAUAAAAUGGCAAAAGGAAACCGCGCCACCACAAGGCUGGAGGCCGAAUUUCGGUGGACCAUUCAUGCAGGUGUCACGCACCCGCGCCCGUCAGCCCGGCGAGGCGAGGCGUGGCAUGGUGAGCGUGCACGUGCGUGUGGAGUUUUACUUCUCUCCCCACACACAUAGCUUGGAAGAAUGGAGACAACCUCCAUAUUUAUGUUGGUCAUCCUGCUCCUCCAUUAGCAAUGUGGGACUAAAGGUUUGCACCACUCCAACCACUUGUUCAUGCCCACAUGGGCCUUUGAGAUUUAUUUGGAAUUUCUUUAGGCCAAGCCCAUUAUUUCAUCAAUCCCCC
rnacentral:lncRNA from 1 species